rnacentral:rRNA from 1 species
AGCGAACGUUAGCGGCGCGCCUAACACAUGCAAGUCGCACGAGAAACGGAGCAAUCCGCGGUACAGUGGCGCACGGGUGAGUAACACGUGGAUGACCUUCCCUGGAGUGGUGGAUAACCUGCCGAAAGGCGGGCUAAUACAGCAUGGGACCACGACGCUUUGGCGAUGUGGUGAAAGCGGGCCUCUAUAUAUAAGCUCGCGCUCCGGGACGGGUCCGCGUCCCAUCAGCUAGUUGGUGAGGUAACGGCUCACCAAGGCAACGACGGGUAGCUGGUCUGAGAGGAUGGCCAGCCACACUGGAACUGAGACACGGUCCAGACUCCUACGGGAGGCAGCAGUGGGGAAUCUUGCGCAAUGGGCGAAAGCCUGACGCAGCGACGCCGCGUGGGCG